rnacentral:rRNA from 1 species
GACAAACGCUGGCGGCGUGCCUAAAACAUGCAAGUCGAACGGACCCUUCGGGGUUAGUGGCGGACGGCUGAGUAACGCGUGGGUAACCUACCCGUGAGUGGGGAAUAACCCUCCGAAAGGAGGGCUAAUACCGCAUACGACCACCAGUCUGUGGAGUGGUGAGGAAAGUCGCAAGGCGCUCGCGGAGGGGCCCGCGUCCGAUUAGCUAGUUGGUGGGGUAAUGGCUCACCAAGGCGUCGAUCGGUAGCUGGCUGAGAGGAUGAUCAGCCAGACUGGGACUGUGACACGGCCCAGACUCCUACGGGAGGCAGCAGUUAGGAAUCUUGGGCAAUGGGCGAAAGCCUGACCCAGCAACGCCGCGUGGGUGACGAAGGCCUUC